UAAAUAGUGCUAUUAAGCACUACCAAGACAAAAUAAAAGAUAAGCU
rfam:Xenopus laevis strain J chromosome 5L, whole genome shotgun sequence.